rnacentral:rRNA from 1 species
AGACCCGAAACCCGGUGAUCUAGCCAUGGGCAGGUUGAAGGUUGGGUAACACUAACUGGAGGACCGAACCGACUAAUGUUGAAAAAUUAGCGGAUGACCUGUGGCUGGGGGUGAAAGGCCAAUCAAACCGGGAGAUAGCUGGUUCUCCCCGAAAGCUAUUUAGGUAGCGCCUCGUGAAUUCAUCUCCGGGGGUAGAGCACUGUUUCGGCUAGGGGGCCAUCCCGGCUUACCAACCCGAUGCAAACUGCGAAUACCGGAGAAUGUUAUCACGGGAGACACACGGCGGGUGCUAACGUCCGUCGUGAAGAGGGAAACAACCCAGACCGCCAGCUAAGGUCCCAAAGUCAUGGUUAAGUGGGAAACGAUGUGGGAAGGCCCAGACAGCCAGGAUGUUGGCUUAGAAGCAGCCAUCAUUUAAAGAAAGCGUAAUAGCUCACUGGUCGAGUCGGCCUGCGCGGAAGAUGUAACGGGGCUAAACCAUGCACCGAAGCUGCGGCAGCGACACGUAAGUGUUGUUGGGUAGGGGAGCGUUCUGUAAGCCGC